rnacentral:snRNA from 1 species
AGCUUUGCGCAGUGGCAAUAUUGUAGCCACUGAGGUUUGUCCGAGGAGCAAUUAUUGCUAAUUGAAAAAUAAACAAUAGGGGUGCCUGGGUGGCUCUGUGGGUUAAGCUGCUGCCUUAGGCUCAGGUCAUGAUCCCAGGGUC